rnacentral:rRNA from 1 species
AUACGUAGGGUGCAAGCGUUAAUCGGAAUUACUGGGCGUAAAGCGUGCGCAGGCGGUUUUGUAAGACAGUGGUGAAAUCCCCGGGCUCAACCUGGGAACUGCCAUUGUGACUGCAAGGCUGGAGUGCGGCAGAGGGGGAUGGAAUUCCGCGUGUAGCAGUGAAAUGCGUAGAUAUGCGGAGGAACACCGAUGGCGAAGGCAAUCCCCUGGGCCUGCACUGACGCUCAUGCACGAAAGCGUGGGGAGCAAACAGGAUUAGAUACCCUGGUAGUCCACGCCCUAAACGAUGUCAACUGGUUGUUGGGUCUUCAUUGACUCAGUAACGAAGCUAACGCGUGAAGUUGACCGCCUGGGGAGUACGGCCGCAAGGUUGAAACUCAAAUGAAUUGGCGGGG